CACUAAGAAGCUAAUAUGGGUUAAGCACCAGCCUUUUAAGCUGGAAGCAGGUGACUCCCAACCACCCUUAAUGA
rnacentral:tRNA from 10 species